AUUGAACGCUGGCGGCGUGCUUAACACAUGCAAGUCGAACGAAGUGGCGAACGGGUGAGGAAUACGUGCGUAACCUGCCCUCCUUUUGGGGAUAAGCCCUGGAGACUGGGUCUAAUACCGAGUAACGGGGGAUGGGCUCGCGGCCUAUCAGCUUGUUGGCGGGGUGAUGGCCGACCAAGGCGGUGACGGGCAGCCGGCCUAGGAGGGUGACCGGCCAUGUUGGGACUGAGUUACGGCCCAGACGUCUACGGGAGGCAGCAGUGGGGGGUAUGGCACAAUGGGCGAAAGCCUGAUGCAGCGACGACGCGUGGGGGAUGAAGGCUUUCGGGUUGUAAACCUCUUUCGCUAUCGAAAGGGUAGGUGGAGAAGAAGCGCCGGCUAACUACGUGCCAGCAGCCGCGGUAAUAC
rnacentral:rRNA from 1 species